UGGUCAAGUUAUUAAGGGUGCAGGGCGGAUGCCUUGGCACUAGGAGCCGAUGAAGGACGUGAUAAGCUGCGAUAAGCUUCGGGGAGUUGCACGUAAACUUUGAUCCGAAGAUUUCCGAAUGAGGAAACUCACUUAGAGUAAUGUCUAAGUAUCAUUAAGUGAAUACAUAGCUUAAUGAGGGGAACUCAGGGAACUGAAACAUCUAAGUACCUGAAGGAAGAGAAAGAAAUUCGAUUCCGUAAGUAGCGGCGAGCGAACGCGGAUUAGCCCAAACCAAUAAAGUUUUCUUUAUUGGGGUUGAGGACAUACCACAUAUAAGAGGUCAUUAUAGACGAAGAAGUUUGGAAAAACUCAUCAUAGAAGGUAAUAAUCCUGUAGUCAAAAUAAUAAUUCUUUAGGUAUGAUCCAGAGUACCACGGGACACGUGAAACCCUGUGGGAAGCAGGAGGGACCACCCUCCAAGGCUAAAUACUACCUAGUGACCGAUAGCGUAUAGUACCGUGAGGGAAAGGUGAAAAGAACCCCGGGAGGGGAGUGAAAUAGAACCUGAAACCCUGCACUUACAAGCUGUGGAAGCACAUUUCUUGUGUGACCGCGUACUUUUUGUAGAACGGGCCAACGAGUUACGUUAAGUAGCAAGGUUAAGCACUUAAGGUGCGGAGCCGUAGCGAAAGCGAGUUUUAACUGAGCGUUCAGUUACUUGACGUAGACCCGAAACCGGGCGACCUACCCAUGAGCAGGAUGAAGCGAAAGUAAAAUUUCGUGGAGGUCCGAACCCACGAGCGUUGAAAAGCUCGGGGAUGACUUGUGGGUAGCGGUGAAAUUCCAAUCGAGCCCGGAGAUAGCUGGUUCUCCCCGAAAUAGCUUUAGGGCUAGCCUCAAGGUGAGAGAUACGGAGGUAGAGCACUGAAUGUCCUAGGGGGUAUUGCACCUACCGAAGACUAUCAAACUCCGAAUGCCGUCAUCUUAUACUUGGGAGUCAGACUGUGGGUGAUAAGAUUCAUAGUCGAAAGGGCAACAGCCCAGAUCGUCAGCUAAGGUCCCUAAAUGUAAGUUAAGUGGUAAAGGAUGUGGGAUUGCACAGACAACCAGGAUGUUGGCUUAGAAGCAGCCACUCAUUCAAAGAGUGCGUAAUAGCUCACUGGUCGAGUGAUCCUGCGCCGAAGAUUUCCGGGGCUAAAACUUACUACCGAAGCUACGGCAUCAGUAAUGAUGGGUAGGGGAGCUUCCCAUACGGGUUGAAGCAUGACCGUAAGGACAUGUGGACAGUAUGGGAGUGAGAAUGUUGGCAUGAGUAGCGAGAUGUGGGUGAGAAUCCCACAGGCCGUAAACCCAAGGUUUCCAGGGGAAGGUUCGUCCGCCCUGGGUUAGUCGGGACCUAAGCUGAGGCCGAAAGGCGUAGGUGAUGGACAACAGGUUGAUAUUCCUGUACUACCGAUAACCGUUUGAGAGAAGGGAUGACACAGUAGGAUAAGCUAAGCACACUGUUGGUUAUGUGUGCCCAAGCAUUGAGGCAGUCAAAGUAGGCAAAUCCGCUUUGAUAAUGCUGGGAUGUGAUGGGGAGCGAAAUUUAGUAGCGAAGUAGCUGAUUUCACACUGUCAAGAAAAGUCUCUAUCGAGGUUAAAGGUACCCGUACCGCAAACCGACACAGGUGGGUGAGGAGAGUAUCCUAAGGCCAGCGAGAGAACUGUUGUUAAGGAACUCGGCAAAAUGACCCCGUAACUUAGGGAUAAGGGGUGCCACCAUCAGGUGGCCGCAGAGAAUAGGCCCAAGCGACUGUUUACCAAAAACAUAGGUUUCUGCUAAGUCGCAAGACGAUGUAUAGGAGCUGACGCCUGCCCGGUGCUGGAAGGUUAAGGGGAUCUGUUAGAGCAAUCGAAGCAGUGAACUUAAGCCCCAGUAAACGGCGGCCGUAACUAUAACGGUCCUAAGGUAGCGAAAUUCCUUGUCGGGUAAGUUCCGACCCGCACGAAAGGCGUAACGAUUUGGGCACUGUCUCAACAACAGACUCGGUGAAAUUGUAAUUCCGGUGAAGAUGCCGGAUACCUGCGACAGGACGGAAAGACCCCAUGGAGCUUUACUGUAGCUUGACAUUGGGUCUUGGUACUACAUGUACAGGAUAGGUGGGAGGCUUUGAAACCAGGACGCCAGUUUUGGCGGAGCCAUCCUUGGGAUACCACCCUUGUAGUACUGGGACUCUAACCAUAGGCCAUGAAUCUGGUCUUGGGACACUGUCAGGUGGGCAGUUUGACUGGGGCGGUCGCCUCCCAAAAGGUAACGGAGGCGCUCAAAGGUUCUCUCAGUACGGUCGGAAAUCGUACGUAGAGUGUAAAGGCAAAAGAGAGCUUGAUUGCAAGACAUACAGGUCGAGCAAGGAUGAAAAUCGGACUUAGUGAUCCGGUGGUUCUGCGUGGAAGGGCCAUCGCUCAACGGAUAAAAGCUACCCUGGGGAUAACAGGCUUAUCUCCCCCAAGAGUCCACAUCGACGGGGAGGUUUGGCACCUCGAUGUCGGCUCAUCACAUCCUGGGGCUGCAGUAGGUCCCAAGGGUUGGGCUGUUCGCCCAUUAAAGUGGUACGCGAGCUGGGUUCAGAACGUCGUGAGACAGUUCGGUCCCUAUCCGUCGCAGGCGUAGGAAAUUUGAGAAGACCUGUCCUUAGUACGAGAGGACCGGGAUGGACGUACCUCUGGUGUACCAGUUGUCCUGCCAAGGGCAUGGCUGGGUAGCUAUGUACGGAAUGGAUAAGCGCUGAAAGCAUCUAAGCGCGAAGCCAACUUCAAGAUAAGAUUUCCCACCGCAAGGGUAAGACCCCAGAAAGACUAUCUGGUUGAUAGGUCGAAGGUGUAAGUGCAGCAAUGUAUUUAGCUUAUCGAUACUAAUAGGUCGAGGACUUGACCAAU
rnacentral:rRNA from 1 species